UACGGGGGGAGCAAGCGUUGUUCGGAUUUACUGGGCGUAAAGAGCGCGCAGGCGGUCGUGCAAGUCGCGUGUGAAAGCCCCCGGCUCAACUGGGGAGGGUCACGCGAUACUGCUCGACUUGAAGGCAGGAGAGGGAAGCGGAAUUCCUGGUGUAGCGGUGAAAUGCGCAGAUAUCAGGAAGAACACCCGUGGCGAAGGCGGCUCUCUGGGACGGUACUGACGCUGAGACGCGAAAGCGUGGGGAGCGAACAGG
rnacentral:rRNA from 1 species